GUCGUAGUGGCGGAAUGGUAGACGCGCACGCUUGAGGGGCGUGUGGAGAAAUCUGUGGGGGUUCAAGUCCCCCCUACGACACCA
rnacentral:tRNA from 1 species